AGAGUUUGAUCAUGGCUCAGAACGAACGCUGGCGGCGUGCUUAACACAUGCAAGUCGCGUGCGCAGUUCCGUAGCAAUACGGGAUGGGCGCACGGCGCACGGGUGCGUAACACGUGGGCAAUCUGCCCUUUGAUGGGGAAUAACCCGCCGAAAGGCGGCUAAUUCCGCAUAAGAUUCCCGGAACUUCGGUUCUGGGAUUGAAAGCAGCAAUGCGUCGAAGGAGGAGCCCGCGCCCGAUUAGCUAGUUGGUGAGGUAACGGCUCACCAAGGCUAUGAUCGGUAGCUGGUCUGAGAGGAUGAUCAGCCACACUGGAACUGAGACACGGUCCAGACUCCUACGGGAGGCAGCAGUGGGGAAUCUUGCACAAUGGGCGAAAGCCUGAUGCAGCGACGCCGCGUGGGGGAUGAAGCAUUUCGGUGUGUAAACCCCUUUCGACUGGGAAGAAUACCUCGCAAGAGGGGUGACGGUACCAGUAGAAGAAGCCCCGGCUAACUACGUGCCAGCAGCCGCGGUAAGACGUAGGGGGCCAGCGUUGUUCGGAAUUACUGGGUGUAAAGGGUUCGUAGGCGGUGCGGCAAGUUGGGAGUGAAAUCUCUGGGCUUAACCCAGAGGCUGCUUCCAAAACUGCUGUGCUCGAGUGUGAGAGAGGCUCGUGGAAUUGCAGGUGUAGCGGUGAAAUGCGUAGAUAUCUGCAGGAACACCCGUGGCGAAAGCGGCGAGCUGGAUCACUACUGACGCUGAGGAACGAAAGCUAGGGGAGCAAACAGGAUUAGAUACCCNNGUAGUCC
rnacentral:rRNA from 1 species